rnacentral:rRNA from 1 species
GAUCAUGGCUCAGGAUGAACGCUGGCGGCGUGCUUAACACAUGCAAGUCGAACGAAGCACUUAAGACAGAUUCUUCGGAUGAAGUUUUUUGUGACUGAGUGGCGGACGGGUGAGUAACGCGUGGGUAACCUGCCUCAUACAGGGGGAUAACAGUUAGAAAUGACUGCUAAUACCGCAUAAGCGCACAGGGUCGCAUGACCUGGUGUGAAAAACUCCGGUGGUAUGAGAUGGACCCG